UGAUGACGCCAAGUAGUUGUGACCAGAGACAAAGACCGAGGAAUGCAUAGUGAAAGCCGAGCCAAUCCAAGACGUCCUCCCGGUCGAGCCCCUCCCUUACAUUCCAGAAGAUGGCACGCAGAUGCACGGAGGUGUAGGCGCUAAGGAACAGACGACAAAAGAAGGGCGCAACGUUGUAUUGGAAAGUAGAGGGCCAACGUCUGCCCAAGAAUCCCGGCCUUUAGACGUCCAUGGGGGCGUUGCCCAGAGGACCCCGGUCGGAGAGCGCCCCUUGUCAGCGCCUUAACACCUCGACCAAGUUCUGGACUCGCUGACUGGAGUCGAGCAUCGCCUUUGGCGAUAUGUUGUCCAGCGUGUCCAGGUCGACUGCGGUGUGCAAGGUCCAGUUGGCUCCUGGAGCAGCGAGGUAAACAGCAUCCGCAGCCUCACGUUCAUGUCAUGCCACAGGUGCCAGUUGCGAGUGAUGCAGGCGAGACAGUGCCUUGCCGGUGGCAUGAACAGUCAGUUGAAGAUGUCUCCGUGCAAACGACCAUUCUAGCUGGGAUCUUAGUUGGCGAAGAUGUCCAGACGGCUGGAAACUCCUUGCUCUGCAUGUCCAACUGCAAAGAUAUGUAACGAACUAUCAGAUAUAACAAAUAAUUGGAUAUAACGAGGUGAUUAAAAUUCUGUAAAAUCUUUUCGGCCUUAUCAACGUGUUUGCUUAUAACGAACAUCACACAUAACAAAUGUGUUGUCGUGUCGAGUGGUAUUUUAUGACGAGGUUCGACUGUA